ensembl:lncRNA
AAGUCCCCCGGCGCCUCGGGCGGACUGCUCCGAUAGCAGGGGCAGAUACUAUAAACCACCAAAGUUUUCUUCCUCCCCCGAAUAGAGGCCUGUGAAAGAAUGUGGGUGACAUUAAGUAGUUUUGCAAAAGGAUGGACUAAGUAAGAAGAACCAGAAGAAUUGCCACACAAAAGAUGGCUGACCGCUUCCGCGGGCGGUAAGGGAAAUUCAGGUGUCGGGGGCCUGACCUGAUUUGGUAAGCGGCUUGCCUGCGGCGAGAAAUGUCUUCAAAAGGUUAAAUUUACUGAGUGUAAAACUUGAGGCUUGAUCCCAUGCAGUUAGAAGGCACUGUAAAGGCAUCCGCAACCUUGGCCAGUAAGAUCGCCGCAGGCGAAGAUGGGGGCAGCCGUGACGCAAGGCCGGGACCCCGCGAGCUCUUGAGAGCUCUGGCUUGCCGUAUGGCCAGAGGUGAAAAUCAUUAUGGAACUGUCAGUGGAUUCGGGUCGUGGGUCCAAGAGGCCAGAAAAUUCUUGGUCUCAUCAGAGGAAGAAUUCGAGGAAAGAUACAGAAUGGACCUAAGAAGGACCAGGUUUAUUAGUGCAAAGUAAAGUGAAAGAAAGGAAAAGUGCCCUCUUCUAGAUGGAAGGAUGGGCACAGGAGCGCUGUGCUGGGAUUCCCCAAACUGAAACUUUUAUGAGGAUAUGUGGAUAUGGGGGUGGUCAGUCCUGGAAAACUGGGCUGAAUGUGUCAUUAACUUCCAGGAACUGGGUUAUGCAUCAUCUCUAAGAAAAUGUUGGGCAGGGGCUGUUGUUUCCCACAGGCUGUGUCAACUGCAGGUCAGCAGAACUUUCCCAUAUGUCACAAGUUGUUCUGUUAAAUGUCAGCAGUCCAGGAUUCAAAUCCUAUCAACAUCCAAGCCAUCAUUCUCCAUAGCAUGUAUUUUUAUUUUUAUUUUUGAUGGUACCAGAGUUUGAACUCAGGGCCUUGUGCUUGCUAAGCAGGCACUCUACCAUUUGAGCUCCUCUGCCAGCCUAACCAUCCUUCUCAGCCAACAGGUUUCCUAUCUACUAGGAAACCUGAAACUCCUAGAACUAAUGAAGCUUAAACUUUGGGGUUCCUUGAUUUCCCAGGAAGGCAGGUUCCCAAUCAUGUGCUCAUGUGGUCAUGUUUUUGGAAAAUUUGCAAAGUAAUUUUUUAUUGCAAUUGCUUAAGGUGGCUUUUUCCACUUGGAUUCCUCUUUGUCAUAGUUCCCCUUGUGUCUGGUGGUGUUUGGGAUCCUGCUAGAGGAAAUCCACCUUGGAACAUAUGAAGUUUGUGGACAUGUUUAUGUGAUAUACUUCCAUGUAUAGUUAAAUUAUUACUGAUUUUCCAUGUGUAAGAUAUACCUACCACCCAUGGUAGUCAAUGAGUAUCCACAAUGAGAAGAAUAUUUAAAGUUAAUCAAGACAUUAGAAAAUUUCAAACUACCUGAAAUCUCCCAGUGAAAGAAUUUCGUACAGGUUCUCCAAAUUUGGCAAAACGUUCAACAACGUAACAAAAAGAAGUUGUGAAGUUAGAAGAAAUUUUCCUAAGCUAUUAAGAAUAAAAAAUAGGAUUGAGGGCUGGGGAUGCA